GUGUGUGUGUGAUGGGACGCGCAGCACCGUUUCUUCAGUUCGGCUGUGGCUGCGCCGAGCUGAGGAAGUGGGGUGCGCGACUGCUCUCUGCUGGCCGAUGCUUUAUAAUUUCAAAUACAAAACAAUGGGUGAACAAAAGGAGGCAGUUGUACAUCUAAAAUGUGUAGCACGAAUAGCAAACAUUCCCCUCAUUGAGACUAGCUGGACAUAUGCAUCAGACUUUUACACAAAAGUAAAGGUAUCAAAUCCUCUCUUCAACUGGGGCUUGUCAACUGCUGAAGCCACAGUCCAAGCUGCUGUGGAACGUACAAAACCAAUUGUGUCAAAAUUUGAAGUCCCAUUAAGUCUUGCAGAUUCACUUGUAUGCAAGAGCUUAGACCUUGUAGAAAAACAAUUGCCUGUUAUCACACUUCCUCCUGAACUGAUUUUUGUCAGCACCAAGGAUUAUGUGAGCUCAACAAUUGUGCAACCUGUUCUCAAGAGAGCAGACUCAGUUAAACAAUUUGGCAGAGAACAAGCACAUACAGUUCUUGAGAGCAAAUAUACAAAUUUUGCAGCUUACAGACUGGACAGUGCACUUGAUUUGGCAGAUAAAUAUAUCGACCAAUAUCUUCCACCCACCGAAGGCACACAAGAGGAAUCAAUUGAAACAAAUAAUACUACAGGAAGCAAAGCAGUCCAGGCACUUCACAAAGCAGACCGAGUGACAAAAAAACUUCAGAGGCGCUUAACACAGCGUACCCUGGCAGAGGCGAGAGCCCUUAAGAAGCAAAGUGAAGACACAUUGCAAACUUUAAUGUACUUAGGUGAAUUGCUUGUCAAAGACCCAAAAGCUGUUUUUGAACUAAGCAAGGAUCUGUGGGCCCAUCUGAGUCAAGAUGAACCAGAAAACCAGGCCCCGCCAACAACACUUGAACAACUAAUGGUCAUGCUUACUCGUGAAUCAGCCCGCAGGAUAGUCCAUCUUUUCAACUACACACGAUCUGCUGUUGUAGCUUUGCCACAUAAUGUUAAUGUAUCCCUUCACAAAGCUGCUGGAUUCUGUUCAGAUCUUUCUGAUGCUUUAGUUAAGGCAGCCCAUCUGGAAGAAGCAAGAAAUAAAGUUAUAUCAAAUGCCAGGCAGAGAAUAUUAUUUAUUCAGAAACUGAUUUCAGAUAUCAACUCUUAUGCGACUAAUCAACUUGGAAUUGUGCAUCAUUAUUGCACUACAUCAGCACAGACACUCUACAAGAUGUGCUACUGUCAGAUUUUGCAGCGUUUGAGGAGAGCAGAUUGCCACAAAAUGGUGGCUAUGCAUGAGAACAGUGACCAGCAACUCAGCCAUGGCAACGCAUCUGCCCAUGCAACACAACAUGGGCAGAAAUUUCCCCCUAAGAACCACUUUCCAGAGUUCCAGCAGCCACUUUUUCUGCCAGAUCCUGCAUCCAGUGAUCUUUUCCUCCCCCUGAGAAACAACAACCAUUGGGAAAGAGAAAGAUAUCAAGAGAUACACCAGAAUCUGCUGAGGGAGCUGUCCCCUAUUUCCGAAGAUGACUUCUAAAAAUGCUUCGUGCAGUAGAAACAACACUGGGCUAAAUGUGUGGCUUCAGAAUGGGACUGCUUUGCAGGAGACGCUGACAAAGUCAAGUUCCAGAAAGGGAGAGGGCAAGAAAGCACCAUCUUCUAGAAAUGGAGAAGUCCAACCUACUGAAAACAAAUCUGCUGUGACCAAAAAUCGACGUUAAUGUAACAUAUGUCAUGCUUAUUUUCGAGAAAAAAAUUCAUUGAUUUAUUUGGUGGAGAA